rnacentral:lncRNA from 1 species
UUUUAUCACAAAACGGCUCUGAUCUCUCCCAUCAAUGUCAUGAUGGCAAAAAAUUUCCAAUUUGCGAUGCCCCGUUGAUCAUUAGACUCUUACUAGUGCAUUAAAAAUAACAAACUUAUCCAUGUGUUUUUGUUUCCUCCCUAUCAUAAUCGUCUUUGUUAGUGUACAAUUCUCGAAAAUUAUGGCAUUGAAUUCCAAAAUUUCUAGAAUAAAUUAAUAUGAUUUUCCAACCAAAAUACUAUACAGUUCUCAAGUAUCUAUCCUGCUUAGGCUUUGUCAACAACUGUUGAAUUCUAUACUGCCAUCCGAAUAAGAUCUUUUCAUGUUUGUGAUUCCAUGGCAAACAACUUUUCAUUUUAUAUUAACCACCAAACAUUUUUAGAUAGAAAAUUUCUUCUCAUUUCUUCUUUGCCGGGAUUAGUGUAUUGGUCAAAAUCUGACUAGAAUGGUCACUCUUAAGAGGAAUGAUAAGAGGUCGACCGAGCUGUAAUCAUGCCCAUGGGGCGAUAUGUCAAGGAGCAACUCGGUCAUCGCCAGAAUCAAAUCAUCGGAAAGCUUGUAUCACAAAAUCAACGUUAUGUUCGAAUAACGAUGAAGGGUACAAUCGUAAGAAAGUAUGCUGGUCAAAGACCACUCGAUAAAAAGGAAAGUUAAUAUAUAUACAGGGGGAGCAGGAACUCGGAAAGGGGGGAGGGGAAUUUGAG